rnacentral:rRNA from 1 species
UACGGAGGGUGCAAGCGUUGCUCGGAAUUAUUGGGCGUAAAGGGUAGGUAGGUGGUCUCAUUUGUCUGGGGUGAAAGCCUUGAGCUUAACUCAAGAAGUGCCCCAGAAACGGUGAGACUAGAGUCUUGGAGAGGGUCGUGGAAUUCCCGGUGUAGCGGUGAAAUGCGUAGAUAUCUGGAGGAACACCGGUGGCGAAGGCGGCAUCCUGGACCAACACUGACGCUGAGGAGCGAAAGCCAGGGGAGCAAACGGG